AUUGAACGCUGGCGGCAGGCCUAACACAUGCAAGUCGAACGAGUGGCGGACGGGUGAGUAAUGUCUGGGAAACUGCCCGAUGGAGGGGGAUAACUACUGGAAACGGUAGCUAAUAACGCAUACCAUCGGAUGUGCCCAGAUGGGGUUAGGUUGUGGGUGAGGUAGCGGCUCACCUAGGCGACGAUCCCUAGCUGGUAUGCGAGGAUGACCAGGCACAAUGGAACUGUGACGCGGUCCAGACUCCUACGGGAGGCAGCAGUGGCGUAUAUUGGAAAAUGGGCGCAAGCGUGAUGCAGCCAGGCCGCGUGUAUGAAGAAGGCCUUCGGGUUGUAAAGUACGUUCAGCGGGGAGGCGUUACCCGCAGAAGAAGCACCGGCUAACUCCGUGCCAGCAGCCGCGGUAAUAC
rnacentral:rRNA from 1 species